rnacentral:rRNA from 1 species
CUGACCGUAAACUAUGCCAUCUAACGAGUCGGUAUUGGUUAUAAAUUGCCAUUUUGACGAGUUACCCGGAAACGAAAGUCUUUCGGUUCCGGGGGGAGUAUGGUUGCAAAACUGAAACUUAAAGGGAUUGACGGAAAGUCACCACCAGAAAUGGAGCCUGCGGCUUAAUUUGACUCAACACGGGAAAACUCACCCGGUCUAGACACUAAAAUGAAUGACAGACUGAUAUAUCUCUCAAGAUAUAGUGCAAAGUGGUGCAUGGCCGUUCUUAGUUCGUGGAGUAAUCUGUCUGGUUAAUUUCGAUAACGAACGAGACUAGAACAUAGUUAAUUGUGUGUAGUAUUAUUAUUUUAUUACACGGUGAUAAAUGGAUAUGCAAAUUAAAUUGCCUGAAAACUGGCAAUAACAGGUCUGUUAUGCCCUUAGUUGUCCGGGGCCGCACGCGCGCUACAAUGGAAAUUGCAGUGCGUAUAUACUAUAUCGAAAGAUAUGGUUAAACGUGUCAAAUUAUUCCGCAUUCGGGAUCGGAGACUGUAAUUGUUUCCGUGAACGAGGAACUUCAAGUAAGUGUGUGUCAUUAGCGCACGCUG